rnacentral:snRNA from 1 species
UCCGUUAAUAACGACUUGAAAUU